rnacentral:tRNA from 1 species
GCGGCCAUGAUGGAAUUGGCAGACAUGUAGGAUUUAGGUUCCUAUGGGCAACCGUGAGGGUUCGAGUCCCUCUGGCCGCA